rnacentral:rRNA from 1 species
AUGCUCACCUACCCCAGCGAUCAUCGGGGUCAUCCUCCGCAGCACGUGGCGGUACCCCCCUUCUCUACCUUUGCCGCCCCCUUCACCGUGGACGGGCUCCAUCGCGCGGACCAAACAUUCCCCAACCCUAGCCUCGAUGCCCCUGGCGCCACUUCCCUCUACGCGACGGGCGAGUGGGGGAAUGCGUCCUGGAUGGAAGCCCCCGUGAGAUACAUGGCCCCAGACGCCGCCGCUUCCGCCUCACCAGGUGUUAGAUACUAUCUUAGAGAAGAAAAGAAGAUGCAGAUCAAUAAAGUUGCCGCAGCGGUUCCCAGACAACAGAAUGCCUUUGUAAGCAAACUGUUUGAUCAUAUUGGUGCUGAAAAUGCAAGACAUUAUCAUCUGAAUAAGGAUCCUUCAGGCCCCGCGACAAGCCCCAUUGGCGCUCCUUCAUUUCCUGUCAAGAGUCUGACAAGUGAAAGCAUAGUUGGAAAUAUUUCCUGUCGAGCAGCAGAGGCAGAGAAAAGUGCACACACUCAAAUACUUACAAAAGAAGGUCAAGAACACUCUCACUGCCAUGCAGAUGCUGGGGAGAACUUGUUGCAGAUGUCUUGCUCUAGCUCUAGGAAUCAGGCAACAUUUCUGAAGCUAAUACACAACUUGUCAGUGGUGCUUCUGUCUACUUGCAAUGGCGGUUCUUCGUUACAGGAAUAUGAAAAGAAGAUUCUGAAAUCUGUUAUUCGAAAUCUUAAAGUUGCUUCUUCCAAAGAAGGCAAGGCUACAUUAAAAGGCGAUGAUUGUUUGAGGGACUCCAGUCAAAUCAGUUGCUUGAGAAACAAUUUGUUGGUGGCAAUCCCUGAACACUCGGUGUCAGAGAGCACAGAUUCAGAAUUUAAGACAUCUAUUUCACAGGCUCUUUCUAAGCUCCCAGAGGAUAAUAUGCUCGAUGAUACUGAAGUUUCUCAAGUGUCAAUUUACAAAAAAAUAUGGUUUGAAGCAGAAGCUUCGGUGUGUAAACUCAAAUAUGAGCUUCAUUGUGCCCGUAUGAAGCUUGCAACAAUGAAAGUUUUCAGCAACACACAAACAGUUCCAAUUGACCCGUCAGGAAGUGAUAAAGCCAGAGUAACCGUAUCUGAUGGCCAACCACAUAAUCAUGCCAAAGAUUGCAGUUCCUGUGCUGCGACCUUGCAAUGUCAUGGAGGAGUCCCGGCUGCUUCCCCAGUGCCUCUGCUGCCUGCAUUGGUGUCACAGCCUUACACGGUCGCGCCCGACAAUCCUUCAGGACCAUACUGUGGUUACUGUCAUAAGUUGGGGCUCACCCCUCAUCCAUGCUACAAGAAGAAUGAUCAGAGACGCAAUAUUUUUAGUGGCACCUCUUCUCCGUCAGGUCCAUGCCAGAGCUCCUCCACCGGCCAGGAACUUCUCACUCAACCACCACCGCCUCCUCCUUCAGAUAUAUUAUCUCCAAGGUCCAUUAUUGCUACAAAUAAGAGCAUCGCAAAUGGUCUUGAUGCUGAAAUAUUUACUCAAAUGAAAGUUCAGGAAUCCCGUAUUGAUAAUAUAAGCUCUUUGGGUGAGAGUAAGUGUGAGAGGCAGCAAGAACCUAGCAAGGGAUCAUAUCCCGUUGAAGAUGAUGUUUUGGCGAGGCUGAGAAUUUUGAAGUCCCGCCCUGAUUACAUAACCUCGUUGGGUUUGGAAAGCAGCAACCAUCAGCUAGACACAAGUAUACAUGCAUCAGAUGAGGUUCAUGAAAUGUUUGCUCGACUGAAAGUUUUGGAGUCCCGCAUUGACAAAAUAAGCCCUUUGGGUGACAACAAGUGUGAAGAGCAGGAAAAAGGAAAUAAGGUUGAAGAUGUUAUUAUGGCUAGGCUGGAAAGUUUGAAGUCCCAUCCAGAUGUGGAGGCUUCCUGCAUUGAGGCUGUUGAAGGAAUGGAGCAUCCUUGUGCUGUGGGGCUGCGAGUCUCUAGUCAUCAGUUACUUCCAUCGCCUGCUGCAGUAUUCGAGAAAACAACAUUGCUAUCGGAUACCGAACCACUAGAGGUCACUGGAGAGACUCCAGCCAUCCUGAUCCCGUCGUCUAAGAAAGCACCGCCUUUGUGUAGACUUAAAGAUGCACCUUCAGUGAUGGAGAAAGAUCAUUCAGGGUUGACAGACGAAGCUCUGCAUUCUGCGCCGUUGUUAAGUGUGCCCCAAGAAGCCGGGGACUUGGCACAAAAGACUGCAAAAGGCACUCCUGGUGAGUUAUGGGGCAUAAGGGCACUCCUGGUGAGUUAUGGGGCAUCUCGGCCCGCGACGUUAUCUUCUGAUUUUCCAUUCCCUGUUUGUGGUGCAACCUUGCCAUAUCUAGGGAUCGUCGUAAGCCUCCUUGGUGAGUACCUAGGUGUUAGUGUACUGUUGUCUCUUGCUGGUGUCAAGGAGGGUCUCAAGCAACCCCCUGAUCGCUGGUCUCCUCUUGAGUUCACCGGCCGAUUGUACUGUAGAUGGCUGCCGCUCGUUAACUCCGGCAUGCACGUCAAGGUCAAGUGUCUGGCUCGGAGCCGUUUCAAGAGUGCGCGCGUGCGUCCAGGUCUGGCCGGCCGGGGGACAUAUACACCGGACGUAAGGUACAACUGUGCCAUGCUUAUACAGCCGUACAGGGGUCAGGGUAGCCAGGCACAAGUGUACCCGCGUACUCUGCACGCCGAGCUGCACGGGGAGGCGCCGGCCGACGCUCGCACCCGCCGCUCACCUGUGCGUGGCCGACGUCUGCGUGUGGCCGGGGCGGAGCUCACCCGCGCCCGCCUAUGCAUGGCCGAGGCGGACGCCCACGCCACCGCGCCCUGCUCGCUGGGACGGAGCCCGCUGAGCGUGCCAUCCUCGAGUUCGAGCGCCGCUCAUCUGCCAGCUCCACGCCAUGUCGUCCCAACACUUCCCUAG